rnacentral:rRNA from 1 species
UACGGAGGGUGCAGAGUGUCGUCGAAUCAUUGGGUUUAAAGGGUCCGUAGGCGGUUUGGUAAGUCAGUGGUGAAGCCAUCGCUCAACGGUGGAACGGCCAUUGAUACUGCCAGACUUGAAUUAUUAGGAAGUAACUAGAAUAUGUAGUGUAGCGGUGAAAUGCUUAGAGAUUACAUGGAAUACCAAUUGCGAAGGCAGGUUACUACUAUGGAUUGACGCUGAUGGACGAAAGCGUGGGUAGCGAACAGG